ACCUCGUGGCCACUGCACCAAACGCUCCUCCGAAGCUUCCCUCAGAGGCCCUCCCUCAACCGUGAGGCAGUCCUCCCCUCUGCCCUCCUGUCCACAACACAACUGCUCCCCGCCUCCCACUUGAGGGCACCGGGGCCAGGCCCCAAGACGAGAGGCCGGCCGCAGCCUUCCUCCACGGGGCUCACGACCCGGGGGCCCCACGCUGCCACCCUUUACCCCGGGGCCCCCAACCUCACCCGCCGCCGCCACCCUCGGUCCCGGCCACUGCGGGCGGCUCUGCAGAAGAGCUACGCUCCGUCCAGUCGGACCCCGGACCCUGGCCGGGCAUCUCCGCGGCGCCGAGACCGCGAGCCGUGUGCAGGAGCAGCUGUCCCAGCGUCCCUCCCCCGACCGCACGCUAUUCCAGAUCCUCAGCACAUUUGCAAAUCGCGAGGGUCACCAUACAGGUCAAACGUCUCCACGCAAACCACGGACCGAAGCACGUGGCGCAAGGAUGCGGAGCUUUAUCUGUUGUCCGUUAUUACUCAGGACGCGUUUCUCACGGGAUUUGGCCUGCGGGCUGCCCCGUAGUAGGAGGUGUGGUAGAACUGAAGACGUAGAAAGAAUGUGGAUUGCGAUUGGUUC
rnacentral:sRNA from 1 species